AACGAACGCUAGCGGCAUGCCUAACACAUGCAAGUCGAACGAGACCUUCGGGUCUAGUGGCGCACGGGUGCGUAACGCGUGGGAAUCUGCCCUUGGGUUCGGAACAACAGUUGGAAACGACUGCUAAUACCGGAUGAUGACUUCGGUCCAAAGAUUUAUCGCCCAGGGAUGAGCCCGCGUAGGAUUAGCUUGUUGGUGAGGUAAAAGCUCACCAAGGCGACGAUCCUUAGCUGGUCUGAGAGGAUGAUCAGCCACACUGGGACUGAGACACGGCCCAGACUCCUACGGGAGGCAGCAGUGGGGAAUAUUGGACAAUGGGCGAAAGCCUGAUCCAGCAAUGCCGCGUGAGUGAUGAAGGCCUUAGGGUUGUAAAGCUCUUUUACCCGGGAUGAUAAUGACAGUACCGGGAGAAUAAGCCCCGGCUAACUCCGUGCCAGCCGCCGCGGUAACAC
rnacentral:rRNA from 1 species